UGGAAUGCAGAAGUCACCGCACAGCCGUGUGACAGUUGACUACCAUGUAACAUAAUGUCGUGGCUUUCCAAUGGCGGUAUUCUACAUGCAGAGUACACUAAAUCUCUCGAGGGAGGAAAAAAUACACAUAGCGCGUGUCUUACUUCGCUGUCCGAAACGCCAGGGAAAUAUAUGGCGAUCGUUCCGGGGAGGGAAUAUAAAUUUUAGCUGAAUUUUUUUCUAAUGCCGGUUCUAAACAGUCGACCGAUGUGAUCGUAAGAUAUCCACGGGAAGUAUCUCGUAACUUAUACACCAAUGUAUCUGUAUUGAGCUUAAACGCGCCAUUUAUAAGCGCUCGCAUCCGUUUAAGUGGCAAACGAGCGUGUUGUCGCGUAUAUGCAAGCGUCGCAGUGCAUUUCUCUUCAGUCUUUCGAAGAAUGUCGACCUUUUACCGCGCCGAAGUAUUCCACUACGUGAUUCCGUACAAUGAGUUCGAAUCUGGUCUCCUCCCGGGACACCCGGUAUAUUUACAUAGGCUUUUGCCAUGGUACUGGCAAGAUGCUGCUGGAAGCGCUGGACCAACACCUGUACAACUACGGUAACCUGUCAAGCUGGAAGGGCAAGGAAGGCCCACUUAACAAAAGCUUUUGUUGGAUUUUUUUUUACCUGUUUUUUUCCUCGUCCGUUGAAUCUUGCUUUCGGUGCCUGAAAACGUGCGAUCGACGAAGGAUCGACGCUCUGUUCCAAGAAAAAAGAUACAUCCUUUGAAAGAACGACUCGAAAUGUUUUGUUUCGAUCGAUAUGAACUAUGCUAUACCUGUCAGAGCGGAAAGUUAGGUUGACCGAAGCGUAGAUAUAUCGGCACUCAUGUGAAAUUAUCGUCAUUACACACAGAAAGGCAUAUCUUUCAGAUACGAGUUAUCGCGUUGUCGUACAAGCAGCAAGUAAACUAUAGUUUAAAUCUUCUCUUGCCGGAAAUAGUCUUUUGCCACGUUUCAAAGUGGCCGGAUUUUAUAGAAAAAGCGUUCGAUUGUUCGGUACAGUGUAAAUUGAGCAACGUCUGAACUUAAAAUCACGAAAGAUGAUUGACUUAAUGUCGGUAUAAAAAAAGACGUAAAGCUUAGUUAGGGAUAGCAGGCCGAGAUUUAAUGAAGGGAUAAAGGGCCGGACGAACGCAGAAUGUUGAAGAUCCCUUUUGGGUCCGGAGAAACGAUCGUCUACGUGGAAGUAGAGGCCGGCUCGAAAAAUCGGAUGAAAGAAACAGCAAGUUAAAAUAAGCUUGGCUCGUUCUUUGUCACGUGAUCGAAGGGACAAGAGAGACGGAAAUGUCGUCUUCAUAAGACACUGUCGAAAAUACAUUGAUGGCUAAUAGAAGAUGGACUAACGCGUAUUAAAAUUUAAUAUGCUCAGCGGUUGUUCUUUUUUGCAAUAAA